AGAUGUACCGUGGCCAAUACCGUAAGAGUCUUAAGCAAUAUAUUUAAUUGCAGAUCUGGGAAACAAUCGCUUCCCUCCCGGGCGAUGCGUCCGAUAUCUCGACGUUCAUACGGAUGGACAGACGGACAAUGCUGGAUCUUCUCGGCUAGUGGUCCGGGUCAAAAAUAUAAACCAAUACUUUACGGUUCCUUCUACCUUGACUUACUUAUCAAGGCUCUUUCAUUAAAGACUACACAUCUAAGUUUUUCAACCUCAAGCAUUGAUGUUGACAACUGAUUUUGCACUUUAGAUAAUGAUAAAUCGACAUUUCGACGUUUUUCCUGAGAUUUACUUAAGAGUUUCAAACGGAAGAUACAGCAAAAUUUGGCAUCGAUGCGAUUAUGCAUUGAGUACGAGAGACUUAAUUGAAGAGCGAGCAGCAGAACGUUAAGCCAAAAGUGCAGAUGCGAAGACAAGACAGAUAGAGAAAUAUAUUUUCGUAGAAAAGUUUUCCUAUAAUGUCAUAGUAAAUGGGUCGGUACGAUGAUUAAGUUACGGUCAUUAAAAUCCAACGAAAAAUUAUUCAACCAACCAUCUACUCAAAGAAGUCCAACUCAGUCUUUACCUUAAUCCUGU